AUUGAACGCUGGCGGCAUGCUUUACACAUGCAAGUCGAACGGCAGCACGGGGGCAACCCUGGUGGCGAGUGGCGAACGGGUGAGUAAUGCAUCGGAACGUAUCCUUAAGUGGGGGAUAACGCAUCGAAGAUGCGCUAAUACCGCAUAAUCUCUGAGGAGAAAAGCAGGGGAUCGCAAGACCUUGCGCUUUUGGAGCGGCCGAUGUCUGAUUAGCUAGUUGGUGAGGUAAAGGCUUACCAAGGCUUCGAUCAGUAGCUGGGUCUGAGAGGACGACCAGCCACACUGGGACUGAGGACACGGCCCAGACUCCUACGGGAGGCAGCAGUGGGGAAUUUUGGACAAUGGGGGAAACCCUGAUCCAGCCAUGCCGCGUGAGUGAAGAA
rnacentral:rRNA from 1 species